rnacentral:rRNA from 1 species
UACAGAGGGUGCGAGCGUUGUCCGGAAUCACUGGGCGUAAAGGGCGCGUAGGCGGCUUGAUAAGGUUGCGGUGAAAGCCCGGGGCUCAACCCCGGGUCGGCCGUGGCAACUGUCGAGCUGGAGCACUGUAGAGGCAGGUGGAAUUCCGGGGUGUAGCGGUGGAAUGGCGUAGAGAUCCGGAAGAACACCGGUGGCGAAGGCGGCCUGCUGG